rnacentral:rRNA from 1 species
UACGGAGGGUGCAAGUGUUGUCCGGAAUCACUGGGCGUAAAGGGCGCGUAGGCGGCUCAUGAAGGCUGUGGUGAAAGUCCGGGGCUCAACCUCGGAUCGGCCGUGGCGACUCGUGGGCUGGAGCACUGUAGAGGCGGGUGGAAUUCCGGGUGUAGCGGUGGAAUGCGUAGAGAUCCGGAAGAACACCAGUGGCGAAGGCGGCCCGCUGGGCAGUGGGCUGA